rnacentral:rRNA from 1 species
GAUGAACGCUGGCGGCGUGCCUAAUACAUGCAAGUCGAGCGAACGGACGAGAAGCUUGCUUCUCUGAUGUUAGCGGCGGACGGGUGAGUAACACGUGGAUAACCUACCUAUAAGACUGGGAUAACUUCGGGAAACCGGAGCUAAUACCGGAUAAUAUUUUGAACCGCAUGGUUCAAAAGUGAAAGACGGUCUUGCUGUCACUUAUAGAUGGAUCCGCGCUGCAUUAGCUAGUUGGUAAGGUAACGGCUUACCAAGGCAACGAUGCAUAGCCGACUUGAGAGGGUGAUCGGCCACACUGGAACUGAGACACGGUCCAGACUCCUACGGGAGGCAGCAGUAGGGAAUCUUCCGCAAUGGGCGAAAGCCUGACGGAGCAACGCCGCGUGAGUGAUGAAGGUCUUCGGAUCGUAAAACUCUGUUAUUAGGGAAGAACAUAUGUGUAAGUAACUGUGCACAUCUUGACGGUACCUAAUCAGAAAGCCACGGCUAGCUACGUG